rnacentral:rRNA from 1 species
UACGUAGGGCGCAAGCGUUGUCCGGAAUUAUUGGGCGUAAAGAGCUCGUAGGCGGCCAGUUGCGUCUGCUGUGAAAUCCCGGGGCUCAACCCCGGGCGUGCAGUGGAUACGGGUUGGCUAGAGGCAGGCAGGGGAGAACGGAAUUCCCGGUGUAGCGGUGAAAUGCGCAGAUAUCGGGAGGAACACCGGUGGCGAAGGCGGUUCUCUGGGCCUGUACUGACGCUGAGGAGCGAAAGCGUGGGGAGCGAACAGG